rnacentral:rRNA from 1 species
ACUUAGUGGCGGACGGGUGAGUAACGCGUGAGUAACCUGCCUUUCAGAGGGGGAUAACGUUCUGAAAAGAACGCUAAUACCGCAUAACAUCAAUUUAUCGCAUGAUAGGUUGAUCAAAGGAGCAAUCCGCUGGAAGAUGGACUCGCGUCCGAUUAGCCAGUUGGCGGGGUAACGGCCCACCAAAGCGACGAUCGGUAGCCGGACUGAGAGGUUGAACGGCCACAUUGGGACUGAGACACGGCCCAGACUCC